GAUCCACUGAUCUAAGCCAGUGUUUCUCAAAUGGGGGUACGUGUACCCCUGGGGACACUUUGGAGGACUUGCAGGGGGUACGUGACAUUUCUUG